UGUCCCCAUCAAAAUAUCCAGCACUCCACCU
rnacentral:piRNA from 1 species